UUUCCAGACUCCUACGGGAGGCAGCAGUGGGGGAUAUUGCACAAUGGGGGAAACCCUGAUGCAGCGACGCCGCGUGAGUGAAGAAGUAUUUCGGUAUGUAAAGCUCUAUCAGCAGGGACGAAAAUGACGGUACCUGAGUAAGAAGCCCCGGCUAACUACGUGCCAGCAGCCGCGGUAAUACGUAGGUGGCAAGCGUUAUCCGGAUUUACUGGGUGUAAAGGGCGUGUAGGCGGGAUGGUAAGUCAGAUGUGAAAACUAUGGGCUCAACCCAUAGCCUGCAUUUGAAACUAUCGUUCUUGAGUGUUGGAGAGGCAGGCGGAAUUCCGUGUGUAGCGGUGAAAUGCGUAGAUAUACGGAGGAACACCAGUGGCGAAGGCGGCCUGCUGGACAAUAACUGACGCUGAGGCGCGAAAGCGUGGGGAGCAAACAGGAUUAGAUACCCUAGUA
rnacentral:rRNA from 1 species